UACGUAGGUGGCGAGCGUUAUCCGGAAUUAUUGGGCGUAAAGAGCGCGCAGGUGGUUGAUUAAGUCUGAUGUGAAAGCCCACGGCUUAACCGUGGAGGGUCAUUGGAAACUGGUCGACUUGAGUAUAGAAGAGAAGAGUGGAAUUCCAAGUGUAGCGGUGAAAUGCGUAGAUAUUUGGAGGAACACCAGUGGCGAAGGCGACUCUUUGGUCUAUUACUGACGCUGAGGUACGAAAGCAUGGGUAGCAAACAGGAUUAGAUACCCGGGUAGU
rnacentral:rRNA from 1 species